rnacentral:rRNA from 1 species
GACGAACCGUCCAAACGUUAUUCGGAAUUACUGGGCUUAAAGGGUGCGUAGGCGGUACGGUAAGUUGGGUGUGAAAUCCCUCGGCUCAACCGAGGAACUGCGCCCAAAACUACCGUACUUGAGGGAGAUAGAGGUGAGCGGAACUUAGGGUGGAGCGGUGAAAUGCGUUGAUAUCCUAAGGAACACCGGUGGCGAAAGCGGCUCACUGGAUCUCUUCUGACGCUGAGGCACGAAAGCUAGGGUAGCGAACGGG